rnacentral:tRNA from 2 species
CGGGAUGUAGCGCAGUUGGUUAGCGUACACGUCUGGGGGGCGUGUGGUCGUCAGUUCGAGUCUGAUCAUCCCGA